UGGAGUGUCACACAGUUCAGAGAAGAGCUGAUAGAAGCAUUCCCCAGGUGAUCUUGAUGCUGAAUGUCUCCUUAGGAGGUCUGGGCAUGGGGAAGAAUGAGCCCUUUGAGGGCUGACCCUGUUUGGACAAGCUGCUCCUCAGCCCCAGCCUCACCAUGUCUGACAUGGCCCACCUGGCACUGACAUCCCUGUGCCCUGCAGCAGAACCUUGUCCCUGAGCUCUGCAGCUCCAUGUCCCAGCCCACUGCACCGUGUCCCACCUGCUCUCCUCAGGGCUCUGCCUGCACACAGGCCCAGGAGAAGUUUUCCUCUUGGGAAGGAAAGAAUGGAAAAGCCUGAGCAGGUUAUCCUACACAACAAACCCCACUCAGGAAGCACCUGCUCAGUACAGGCUGCCUGGAAUGAUGUCACCUUUCUACAAGAGACAGUGUGACCAGAAAUGAUCUCUGGAAGCAGAAUUCUCUGAGUCUCCCAGCUGAAUUCUCUGUCCCUGUCCUUUCCCUGGAUCUCUGUUGCAGAUGGAAGCUGCUGGUGCCAUCCUCACCUUUAAGCUCUCUUUUGAAUGCAAACAGAUGUUCCCAGCUGUGUUAAGCAGGAUUUGCUUAAUGUUUCUAUAAAUCUUUUGUGUUCCCCAUGGAACGAAGGGGCCAUUUUGGCACUGGGGGGUGACGUGGAAGCAAGGAGUCAAUUGUGACCCUGGGGUCCCAUGGAAGCAAGGGGCCAUGGUGACACAGCAGGGCCACGUGGAUCCAGUGGUCCAUUGUGACACUGUGGAUCCAAGGAGACCAUGGAGACACCCCCAGAACCUCAUGGAACCAAGGAGCCCAUGGUGACCCAGCAGGGCUGCAUGGAGCCAAUGGCCCAUGGUGACACUGCCCAUCCAAGGAGGCCAUUUGGACACUGCGGAAGCUCAUGGAGCCAGGUGUUUUUAAGGGAUGAAGAUAGAUCAGACAAAUAUUAGGGCCAUACCAAAAGGAUAACCA